rnacentral:rRNA from 1 species
AGAGUUUGAUCAUGGCUCAGAGCGAACGCUGGCGGCAGGCUUAACACAUGCAAGUCGAGCGGGCGUAGCAAUACGUCAGCGGCAGACGGGUGAGUAACGCGUGGGAACGUACCUUUUGGUUCGGAACAACACAGGGAAACUUGUGCUAAUACCGGAUAAGCCCUUACGGGGAAAGAUUUAUCGCCGAAAGAUCGGCCCGCGUCUGAUUAGCUAGUUGGUGAGGUAACGGCUCACCAAGGCGACGAUCAGUAGCUGGUCUGAGAGGAUGAUCAGCCACAUUGGGACUGAGACACGGCCCAAACUCCUACGGGAGGCAGCAGUGGGGAAUAUUGGACAAUGGGCGCAAGCCUGAUCCAGCCAUGCCGCGUGAGUGAUGAAGGCCCUAGGGUUGUAAAGCUCUUUUGUGCGGGAAGAUAAUGACGGUACCGCAAGAAUAAGCCCCGGCUAACCUCGUGCCAGCAGCCGCGGGA